rnacentral:rRNA from 1 species
GGGUUUCGGCUCGUAAAGCUCUGUUGUUAAAGAAGAACGUGGGUGAGAGUAACUGUUCACCCAGUGACGGUAUUUAACCAGAAAGCCACGGCUAACUACGUGCCAGCAGCCGCGGUAAUACGUAGGUGGCAAGCGUUAUCCGGAUUUAUUGGGCGUAAAGCGAGCGCAGGCGGUCUUUUAAGUCUAAUGUGAAAGCCUUCGGCUCAACCGAAGAAGUGCAUUGGAAACUCCGAGACUUGAGUGCAGAAGAGGACAGUGGAACUCCAUGUGUAGCGGUGAAAUGCGUAGAUAUAUGGAAGAACACCAGUGGCGAAGGCGGCUGUCUG